GUUGAUUUUUGAGUAGUGAACCAGCUUUGCAUUCCUGGGCAUAGAGUAAAAAGAUUCCUGAGUCUGAGUCUACUGACAAAUAUACCACAUCCCCAGAGUAACUUGGAGUCUCUUAAAAUUGUCUUGCUGGCAUCUAGCGGAGAUUGUCCCCAUAAGCAUGUUCCUUAUGAUGGAUGCCUGGGUCAGAACACAUAAUACAUUCUUUUUUAUAAGCAUGAGGAUUCUGAGAAGCACUGCCCCUCCCACGUGUCACACUCUGGGGAGAGAUGAUUGGAAUGCCUCUUGGAUCAGGUAUCUUUGGUGAUCAUUCCACCUAGUUAAGAUGAAGCUGGUGAUACCCUUUGGCUU
rnacentral:lncRNA from 1 species